rnacentral:rRNA from 1 species
AGAAUCUUUCACRMUGGGGGCAACCCUGAUGGAGCGACGCCGCGUGGAGGAUAAGGUCUUCGGAUUGUAAACUCCUGUCAUGUGUGAACAAGGUUGCAGAGUUAAUAGCUAUGCAAAUAGAUGGUAACACAAGAGGAAGAGACGGCUAACUCUGUG